rnacentral:rRNA from 1 species
AUUGAACGCUGGCGGCAGGCUUAACACAUGCAAGUCGAGCGAGCGGCGGACGGGUGCGUAAUGUCUGGGAAACUGCCUGAUGGAGGGGGAUAACUACUGGAAACGGUAGCUAAUACCGCAUACUAUCAGAUGUGCCCAUAUGGGAUUAGCUAGUAGGGGGGGUAAAGGCUCACCUAGGCGACGAUCCCUAGCUGGUCUGAGAGGCGGACCAGCCACACUGGAACUGAGACACGGUCCAGACUCCUACGGGAGGCAGCAGUGGGGAAUAUUGCACAAUGGGCGCAAGCCUGAUUCAGCCAUGCCGCGUGUGUGAAGAAGGCCUUCGGGUUGUAAAGCACUGUCAGCGGGGAGGCGUUACUCGCAGAAGAAGCACCGGCUAACUCCGUGCCAGCAGCCGCGGUAAUAC